CCUCCCAUCUCCUCCUCCCUCAAACCCUUGCAGCCACACCACCUAACCUAGCCCCCCCCCAUCUCCUCCUCCCAAGGUGCCAUUCCCUGCCGCUCGGAUCUACGUCGCGUGGUGCAAAUCUCCAAUUGUUUACGGUGGAGGGAAGAAGGGAGGAAGGAAAGGGGGAGAAUCCAAGGCACCUGAUUUCUGCUUUGGGAAAAGAGGGAUGUAGCAGCACGGCCACUAUACCUUUAAUAAAGGAACCACUGCUUAAUAAUGUUGUUAAUCAGGGAGGGUCAAGUCUAGGGAAUUAAUAUGUUCUAGCUUUUCAUGGUGGUUGAGCUGUUUUUGGGGUGGGCUGGGUUACCUAUUCUUUUAUUUGGUCAUGAAUGUGUUUCACCAAUUUUUCAUUUAGAUUCUACUACGUGAAUUAUCUGUCUUUUAUAUCCUGUAUGAACUCCAUGUUUCCCCCCCUGUUAUGCUUCUUUCAAGGGAGGUGCUGCCGGAUUUUGCAA